rnacentral:rRNA from 1 species
CUCAGGACGAACGCUGGCGGCGUGCCUAAUACAUGCAAGUCGAACGAACUCUGGUAUUGAUUGGUGCUUGCAUCAUGAUUUACAUUUGAGUGAGUGGCGAACUGGUGAGUAACACGUGGGAAACCUGCCCAGAAGCGGGGGAUAACACCUGGAAACAGAUGCUAAUACCGCAUAACAACUUGGACCGCAUGGUCCRAGUUUGAAAGAUGGCUUCGGCUAUCACUUUUGGAUGGUCCCGCGGCGUAUUAGCUAGAUGGUGGGGUAACGGCUCACCAUGGCAAUGAUACGUAGCCGACCUGAGAGGGUAAUCGGCCACAUUGGGACUGAGACACGGCCCAAACUCCUACGGGAGGCAGCAGUAGGGAAUCUUCCACAAUGGACGAAAGUCUGAUGGAGCAACGCCGCGUGAGUGAAGAAGGGUUUCGGCUCGUAAAACUCUGUUGUUAAAGAAGAACAUAUCUGAGAGUAACUGUUCAGGUAUUGACGGUAUUUAACCAGAAAGCCACGGCUAACUACGUGCCAGCAGCCGCGGUAAUACGUAGGUGGCAAGCGUUGUCCGGAUUUAUUGGGCGUAAAGCGAGCGCAGGCGGUUUUUUAAGUCUGAUGUGAAAGCCUUCGGCUCAACCGAAGAAGUGCAUCGGAAACUGGGAAACUUGAGUGCAGAAGAGGACAGUGGAACUCCAUGUGUAGCGGUGAAAUGCGUAGAUAUAUGGAAGAACACCAGUGGCGAAGGCGGCUGUCUGGUCUGUAACUGACGCUGAGGCUCGAAAGUAUGGGUAGCAAACAGGAUUAGAUACCCUGGUAGUCCAUACCGUAAACGAUGAAUGCUAAGUGUUGGAGGGUUUCCGCCCUUCAGUGCUGCAGCUAACGCAUUAAGCAUUCCGCCUGGGGAGUACGGCCGCAAGGCUGAAACUCAAAGGAAUUGACGGGGGCCCGCACAAGCGGUGGAGCAUGUGGUUUAAUUCGAAGCUACGCGAAGAACCUUACCAGGUCUUGACAUACUAUGCAAAUCUAAGAGAUUAGACGUUCCCUUCGGGGACAUGGAUACAGG